ensembl:snoRNA
UGUACCAAGAUCAGAAAGUAUUUUGUUCAACUGGUGGACAAAGGCAUGAAAGACAGGUACAAAAAUAAAUCUUCUUUUGCAACCCAGAACUCAUUGUUUAGUAUGACUGGUGAAACAUACAGGAAGGAAUACA